rnacentral:rRNA from 1 species
UAAGGAAUAUUGCUCAAUGGGAGAAAUCCUGAAGCAGCAACGCCGCGUGGAGGAUGAAGGGUCUAUGACUUGUAAACUCCUGUAAAGAAGGAAAAAAUUCCCAUUAGAUGGGAGAUGAUGGUACUUCUGGAGUAAGCCCCGGCUAACUACGUGCCAGCAGCCGCGGUAAUACGUAGGGGGCAAGCGUUGUCCGGAUUUACUGGGUGUAAAGGGUGCUCAGGCGGAUUUGUAAGUCAGAGGUGAAAUCUUACAGCUUAACUGUGAAACUGCCUUGGAUACUGCAAGCCUAGAGUAUGGAAGAGAGUGAUGGAAUAUCUGGUGUAGCAGUGAAAUGCGUAGAUAUCAGAUAGAACACCAAUGGCGAAGGCAGUCACUUGGUCCAUUACUGACGCUAAAGCACGAAAGCGUGGGUAGCAAACA